GACGAACGCUGGCGGCGUGCUUAACACAUGCAAGUCGAACGGAAAGGCCCUGCUUUUGUGGGGUGCUCGAGUGGCGAACGGGUGAGUAACACGUGAGUAACCUGCCCUUGACUUUGGGAUAACUUCAGGAAACUGGGGCUAAUACCGGAUAGGAGCUCCUGCUGCAUGGUGGGGGUUGGAAAGUUUCGGCGGUUGUGGAUGGACUCGCGGCUUAUCAGCUUGUUGGUGGGGUAGUGGCUUACCAAGGCUUUGACGGGUAGCCGGCCUGAGAGGGUGACCGGCCACAUUGGGACUGAGAUACGGCCCAGACUCCUACGGGAGGCAGCAGUGGGGAAUAUUGCACAAUGGGCGGAAGCCUGAUGCAGCAACGCCGCGUGCGGGAUGACGGCCUUCGGGUUGUAAACCGCUUUCGCCUGUGACGAAGCGUGAGUGACGGUAAUGGGUAAAGGAGCACCGGCUAACUACGUG
rnacentral:rRNA from 1 species